CAGCAGCCUGCUCUCCAACUGGCCACCCGCAACGCUGCCCUGAGGAAAUGCGGAGCUACAUGGCAGCAGCAAGCAGCCGCCUCCCGGCGCCCGACAUUUUCCGCAUCAGGAAGAGCUUGCUGGAGAAGAGACCCAGUUCUGAAUUGCUACAGUUCCAGCUGAGGUUAUCCAAGAUCUGCUGACUUGUGGCAAGUUGCCAGACACAUGAGGGAGCCCAGUUAAGGCCAGAACUGCCAAGCCAACCUCAGUCUAAAUUGAUAACCCACAGACGUGUAAGCUAAAUAAAUGUCUUUUGUUUUAA